AGCGGGGGGCUCUGCGGUGGCCCCGCUGUCGCCUCAAUGGGGAAGGUGGCGAAAGCGCGGCCUGCUUAGGCCUCUGGCUGCCGGGCACGGGGGUCCCUCGGGCCUUCCCGCCCCCCGGGGUGUCUUGUAGCCCCUCCUCAGGCCGAGCGGCCCCGAGCUGGCACUAGAGUGUGUGGGGCUGGCUGAGGGGAUGACAGGCCUCGGUCCCUGGGGCCUGCAGUCGAGUUGUCCCUGCCUGAGGUGAUGGGAGAGGCGGCUCUGACAGACGUGUGUCCUCUUCAGCAGUGCCCCAUGGCAGCCAGGACCCCUUACCCUGCCCUUGUCCCAGUGCCUUCUACUCAAGUGGUUCCCCGGGUGACAUCCCUUCGACAGUUCACUGGGAAGAGCUCAGCCUGCUAAAUAUUUAAUAUUUGCCAAGCUGGGAUGCUUGAGUGCUGGAAGCAUCUGAAGAAUCCAGCCCAGUCCCUCACACUUCUCAUUCCCUGAGCGUGCCGCUGACAGACGUGUCGAUCUUUCGCUUCCAUCACUAGGUAAAGGACAAAUGAUCUUUCUGUUUGUGGUGUGGGAGGAGGCCGUGUGUUAUCUGGUAUGAUUCACUCUGAUAAAUAACCUCCUCGGAGGACUUCUCUUGUUUAUAGCAACAGCCUCAAAUGCUAAGGUUUACAGAGAUUGUAAUCCUCACUGUUCUCACGCAUGUUUACUCUGCAGUUUUAUCAGAAACAUCUCUUGAAAACCUCAGUGUUUUUAUAAUUAAUUGAAUAAUGUGACUGAUGUUAAAAAUAAACGGAUUUGGAAAAAUG